CAUUGGGCGUAAAGGGCGCGUAGGCGGCCUCUUAAGUCAGAUGUGAAAGCCCCCGGCUCAACCCAGGAAGUGCAUUUGAAACUGCCCGACUUGAGUAUGGGAGAGGGUAGUGGAAUUCCUGGUGUAGGGGUGAAAUGCGUAGAUAUCAGGAGGAACACCGGUGGCGAAGGCGGCUUCCUGGACCAAUACUGACGCUGAGGCGCGAAAGCGUGGGGAGCAAACAGGAUUAGAUACCCUGGUAGUCCACGCAGUAAACGGUGAACACUAGGUGUCGGGGGUAUUGACCCCUGCGGUGCCGAAGCUAACGCAUUAUGUGCCCCGCCGGGGGAGUACGGCCGCAGGGUUAAAACUCAAAGGAAUUGACGG
rnacentral:rRNA from 1 species